AAAUAUGAUCAGCAACAGAUGGUGCAUGAUACAUCAGCUAGUGUUGGCAUACAUCUCUAUCAUGUUAUAGCCUGCACCUUGCAUCUCAAACAAGAGGACUACUAUAGCCGACCAUCAUUAAUACCAUCCUGCAUUAAGUCCCAAUGAAGGCAGAAGCAGAUAUGUUGAAUCAGUCCAGUCAUUGAACCUACAUAAACAUACCCAAACCAGAACCAAAGUGCUAAACAUGGAGCAACGACAUCAUGCCAAAAGGAACUGAUAAAUCCAAUUGUGUGACAUGACAUACUUCAGUCAAGAUUUAUGCACUAUCCUGCUAGCAAAACC
rnacentral:lncRNA from 1 species